GACAAACUUAAAAAUAGCUUGGCUGUAUGACAUUUAUUUUCAUGAAUUCUGUCAUUUAAUUUCAAUUUUUUUUACCUCCACAAGACUACCUGAUGCAGGACCUACAAAAGUGACUUGGGCAGAGAGGCAGGCCUUGUGUGCACAAAAGUGGCAAUGUUGAUGAUGGACAGCAUGCUCUCUGCUGAAGGUAUUGUGAUGGGCCAGUGUCAGUAUUGCAACAGGGAGGACGGGGUUGUGUGGUGCUAUCCUGAUUGGAAUAAAUGGGUGCUACAACCUGUUCGUUCCUGCUCUGAACUGCUCCGGGUGUCUGAGACAUUGGACAGUGGGGCUGGAGAAACUUGUAAACAGUGGCUACUGGCCAGCCACCGUGACUCACCAGACCAUCUUCACAGUGGACCUCUUCAAGUCCUUUGAAAACAUGAAGGUGUUGGCCCCAGGAUGCUCCCAUCAAGCCUUUGUGGGAAUGCUUGAUGGAAGAACAAAGCACUUUGGCAGGGUAAGUGUGUAUAUACUAAUCAAAUGAUAAUUUUAAUGAAUUUGUCCCCAAUAUAGAAAUUGCCCCCUACUUAUACCUCUGUCUGUUUAGCAUGUUAUUCCAGAAGGCAUUCCUCGAGUGGAUGUACGGGCAGUUUGAAAUAGACACGUUUUGUGGAAGCGAUCUCCUCCAUUGUCCUGCCUGCUCACAGGAAAUGGAUGCCAAAUCAGUUGAUGGGAAUCGCAAGCAAUACCGCUUCCGGAAAGCCUCAGAGAUCAUUGUGGGCCUGUUGUAGAUGAACGUGGCUCCACUGGCUGUGUUCCAGACCCUGAAGGCCAUGUGUGCUAGCCAGAGGAUAGCUGACACCUCCAUGGGAGACUCCUCCACAGCCUCCUACCCCAACACCACCACCACAGCCUCCUCAGCCUCCAACAGAACCCAGAGUGCGUAGAAAAGCAGGCAGAGAGAAGAGCAGAGAGGGUUCCAGCCAGAGGGUGCCAUUCCAGCCCAGCGCCACCAGGGGGCAGAAAGCAGCAGUUCCUCACAGAUCACCCCAACUACCACUAACUAGACCCCACAGGACUAAGGACUGAGGGGCCACCUGACAAGUCUUAAGAUGCUUCCUCAACUCGUCUUCUUUCCUUCAUCUGCAUUGAUGGCUAAUUAAUCUCCUCUCCUCCUCAGUUGAAUAAAGGUGAAUGAAUAUAAGAGUGAAAUUAUGUACCUAGUUCGCCAUGUGGCUUUCACCUCUACUAUGCUUCCACAUCAGUGCAAAUGAGGAGAGGAGGUACCUUGUUUAAACCACAGUAUUGAGAUGCACCCUGAUUCAUAAUCCGUGUGACCACUAAUGCCUACCUCUUGGUCACCAGUGCUGAUUUUCGACCUGCCAAAAGGCUGGGAGAAUUGCUUGUUAGAACUGGUCCAGAGUCAGUUGGGAUAUGUUAAGAGUAUAAGGGUUGAGUUUAGGUUUUGGGUCACCAGAAACUGAUCCUAGAACAGUACCAUGCGCUCGUACUUUAGACAGGGUAUAAACCAGGGCUGUCAUCUGCACUAAUGUAUAAUAUUGAUAUGUAUUGAAAUAGUUGUUUUAUACCAUAAACACAGCAACAA